rnacentral:rRNA from 1 species
CUGCAGCUCAAGUGGUGACCACUAUUAUUGGGCCUAAAACGUUCGUAGCCGGUUUGGUAAAUGCCUGGGUAAAUCGUGUAGCUUAACUAUACGAAUUCCGGGUAGACUGCCAAACUUGAGACCGGGAGAAGCUAGAGGUACUCCUGGGGUAGAGGUGAAAUUCUGUAAUCCUGGGGGGACCACCAGUGGCGAAGGCGUCUAGCUAGAACGGGUCUGACGGUGAGGAACGAAGCCCUGGGGCGCAAAACGGAUUAGAUACCCGAGUAGUCC